UUCUGCUUGGGGGGCUUUAAGGAAGCAAAUGGACUUUCAGAACAGAGAUUGUCAAUAAAGGUGUUGUGCCAUGUUAAAGACCCUCUUGUCAUUUUUAUUAUUCAUGGAUGGACGCUAAUUCUACAAGUCAGUUUAAGGGAUGGAACACGAGUUGUCCAUGACAUGACACAGCUACGGCAAACACUGGAUCCUUAACCCACUGUGCUGGGUCGGGAAUUGAACUGGUGCCUCCACAGAGACAAGCUGGAUCAUUAAUCCAUUGUGCCACAGCAGCAAUCCACAUUGGAUUUUCUUCGGGGCCCAAUGUUAUAUAUGAAAUCCUUUGCAAACUAUGAAGUAUAUUUGUGAGAUGGUUUUACUGGAAACAGUAGGACACUAGAAACAAAUACGCUAUAGCAAUAUCAGCCACGGGCAUAAUAGUUAGUGGUUAAUUGAUACUCUUUAAGUCCUGACACAACCACCAUGCUGAUGCAGAUACUCUUUAUUAGUACACAGGAAAAUCAGAUCAUUAUCUAAGGCCAACAAGCUCCUCCUUGAGAUGUUCUGCCAUAUAAUCUGGAGGAAAUACUGUAAGACUUUGUCAGCACUGAGUCAUUUGCACUGGGAGUCUUACCAGAAAAAAAAAAUCUUGUCUUCUCAGAAGGUAUGUGAAAAUGUCUAUGGACAAGCCAUUUAGAUGACAGAUUUAACAAGUUCUACCCUCUAUUAACUUCACACAUACCCACCUUUCUGCAAACUAAAAGACACUACUUCUCUUAUUGAUCCAUUAACAUAAAGUCAUUUUCUAAUUUACUAUUACAAGUAAUUAUAAUUAGAAUGGGUUUAUUAAUUAAAAGCUAUUAUAAUCAUUAUUAAUUACUCUUCAGUAUAUAGCAUUUCAUAUGAUCCAUUCCCUAACUCCUCAUCUUUGGAAAGCUAACACUCAGAGUUACCCCUGAGAACAAUAGAGUCCACAAAGUCAGAGACUAUAGUUAGAAAAAAGAUAUAAAAAUAUUUAGCACUUCAAAAUGAAGAGCUCAACAGACCUUGCAAUUCUCCAUGUUUAUUUUGCCCGCCUUAGGUGAAAUUUCAUAAAAUUGGAAGAAUCAAUAGAACUGCAAAUUCUACUUUAUUCAUUGCUUUUAUUUAUCAGCUAUGCAAGGAAUACGAUUUCAAAUUUUUAUUUAUAUAGGUCUGUAACAUUUGGAAAGGCAAUGAACAAUUUUAUUUACUUUCACUACAUUUUUUGUAAAAUGUAAAAUUAAGAGAAGGUAAUUUUUUAACCCAGAGAAUGAAAAUUAUUUGCAAGAAAGUGAUAUUGGUUGGAAAACAAAAUAUUACUUCAAUCCAUGUCCAAGGAAAGUUGUUGGAGUAUUUUAGAAUAUUCAAAGUUCCUUGUAUCUAUUUUAACUAAAAUGACAUUCUUUGCUAUACAUAUGAUUGAUCUGUAACUAAUUAUUUUUAUAGGUUGUUUACUGUUCUAUUCAAAGAUCAAUUUGUCAUGUCAACCCUUUCUCUAAUACAAUGGCAAGUGGCAAGAACA
rnacentral:lncRNA from 1 species